rnacentral:lncRNA from 1 species
AUUCUUUGCCCACAGGGUGGAGUUCAUUUCUUUUGUUCUUGGAAGUUGAAUAGCAGAAAGGGACUUUUCAGCUUUUCCUGAUAAAGGAACCCAGGAAAUAGACGUGCUGCAUAUUCAACUUGUCCAAAACUCGUGAAUGCAGCUGUGUCCUUAAUUUAGCAAAGUGAGCUGGGAUGCAGGAACAGGCACUGCUUGAAUAGUAGGUGAGUGAACUCAGCUUUUUGGAAGGUCAUUAGCCUAAUCCAGUGCCUGAUUUAGUGGUAUCCAAUCCUGUCCAUGGCAGGGGGUUGUAACUAGAAUGUCUUUGUGGUCUCUUCCAACCCAAGUC